UACAGAGGUCCCAAGCGUUUGUUCGGAUUCAUUGGGCGUAAAGGGUGCGUAGGUGGCGCCGUAAGUCGGGUGUGAAAUUUCGGAGCUUAACUCCGAAACUGCAUUCGAUACUGCGGUGCUUGAGGACUGGAGAGGAGACUGGAAUUCAUGGUGUAGCAGUGAAAUGCGUAGAGAUCAUGAGGAAGACCAGUGGCGAAGGCGGGUCUCUGGACAGUUCCUGACACUGAGGCACGAAGGCCAGGGGAGCAAACGGG
rnacentral:rRNA from 1 species